rnacentral:rRNA from 1 species
GGACCCGCACAAGUAGUGGAGCAUGUGGUUUAAUUCGAUGCAACGCGAAGAACCUUACCUACUCUUGACAUCCAGAGAAGCCAGCGGAGACGCAGGUGUGCCUUCGGGAACUCUGAGACAGGUGCUGCAUGGCUGUCGUCAGCUCGUGUUGUGAAAUGUUGGGUUAAGUCCCGCAACGAGCGCAACCCUUAUCCUUGUUUGCCAGCACGUAAUGGUGGGAACUCCAGGGAGACUGCCGGUGAUAAACCGGAGGAAGGUGGGGACGACGUCAAGUCAUCAUGGCCCUUACGAGUAGGGCUACACACGUGCUACAAUGGCGCAUACAGAGGGCAGCAAGCUAGCGAUAGUGAGCGAAUCCCAAAAAGUGCGUCGUAGUCCGGAUCGGAGUCUGCAACUCGACUCCGUGAAGUCGGAAUCGCUAGUAAUCG